GACGAGGGAUGCAAGCGUUAUCCGGAUUCAUUGGGUUUAAAGGGAGCGUAGGUGGCCUUAUAAGUCAGUGGUGAAAUCUCUGGGCUUAACCCAGAAAUUGCCAUUGAUACUGUAGGGCUUGAGUAUAGAUGCCGUUGGCGGAAUAUGACAUGUAGUGGUGAAAUACAUAGAGAUGUCAUAGAACACCGAUUGCGAAGGCAGCUAACGAAACUAUAACUGACACUGAGGCUCGAAAGUGUGGGGAUCAAACAGG
rnacentral:rRNA from 1 species